rnacentral:rRNA from 1 species
UGAAUACGAGACGCUAAGGCGUCGAAGUAGUGUAUGUCAUACUUCCAAGAAAAGCUUGCACUGUCAUAGAUAAAAAACGCCUGUACCAUAACCGACACAGGUGGGUAGGUAGAGUAUACUAAGGGGCGCGAGAUAACUCUCUCUAAGGAACUCGGCAAAAUAACUCCGUAACUUCGGGAGAAGGAGUGCCUUAUUUAUAAGGCUGCAAUAACAAGAUCCAAGCAACUGUUUAUCAAAAACACAGGUCUCCGCUAAGUCGUAAGACGAUGUAUGGGGGCUGACGCCUGCCCAGUGCCAGAAGGUUAAAGAAGUUGGUUAGCUUUUGCGAAGCUGAUAACUGAAGCCCUGGUGAACGGCGGCCGUAACAAUAACGGUCCUAAGGUAGCGAAAUUCCUUGUCGGGUAAGUUCCGACCCGCACGAAAGGCGUAAUGAUUUGGAUACUGUCUCGGAGAGGGGCUCGGUGAAAUAGACUUGUCUGUGAAGAUGCGGACUACCUGCACCAGGACAGAAAGACCCUAUGAAGCUUUACUGUAACCUGAAAUUGAAAUUGGACUUUAUUCGCGCAGCAUAGGUGGGAGGCGUUGAUUAUAAUCUCGUGGGAUUAUUGGAGCCAUCAGUGAGAUACCACUCUUGUAAUGUUAGAUUUCUAACUUUGAAUCAUUAUCUGGUCAAAGAACAGUUUCAGGCGGGCAGUUUGACUGGGGCGGUCGCCUCCUAAACGGUAACGGAGGCGUACAAAGGUUUCCUCUGAACGGUUAGAAAUCGUAUCUAGAGUGUAAAGGCAUAAGGAAGCUUGACUGUGAGACCUACAAGUCGAGCAGGGACGAAAGUCGGUCUUAGUGAUCUGACGGUACUGAGUGGAAAGGCCGUCACUCAACGUAUAAAAGUUACUCUAGGAUAACAGGCUGAUCUCCCCCAAGAGUUCACAUCGACGGGGAGGUUUGGCACCUCGAUGUCGGCUCAUCGCAUCCUGGGGCGGUAGUACGUCCCAAGGGUUGGGCUGUUCGCCCAUGAAAGCGGUACGCGAGCUGGGUUCAGAACGUCGUGAGACAGUUCGGUCCAUAUCCGGUGUAGGCGUUAGAAUAUUGAGAGGAGCCUUCUUUAGUACGAGAGGACCGAGAAGGACAUACCUCUGGUGUACCAGUUAUCGUGCCAACGGUAAACGCUGGGUAGCUAUGUAUGGAGUGGAUAACCGCUGAAAGCAUCUAAGUGGGAAGCCCACCUCAAGAUAAGUAUUCUC